CAGCAGCCGCGGGAAUACAGAGGGUGCAAGCGUUAAUCGGAAUUACUGGGCGUAAAGCGCGCGUAGGUGGUUUGUUAAGUUGGAUGUGAAAGCCCCGGGCUCAACCUGGGAACUGCAUCCAAAACUGGCAAGCUAGAGUACGGUAGAGGGUGGUGGAAUUUCCUGUGUAGCGGUGAAAUGCGUAGAUAUAGGAAGGAACACCAGUGGCGAAGGCGACCACCUGGACUGAUACUGACACUGAGGUGCGAAAGCGUGGGGAGCAAACAGGAUUAGAGACCCCGGUAGUCCCUGUCUCUUAUAC
rnacentral:rRNA from 1 species